rnacentral:rRNA from 1 species
AGCGGCGGAGCAUGUUGCUUAAUUCGAGGCAACGCGAAGAACCUUACCUGGGCUUGACAUGUGGGGAAAAGCCAUAGAGAUAUGGUGUCCUUCGGGGCCCCAUGCAGGUGGUGCAUGGCUGUCGUCAGCUCGUGUCGUGAGAUGUUGGGUUAAGUCCCGCAACGAGCGCAACCCUCGUCCUAUGUUGCCAGCGGGUAAUGCCGGGGACUCGUAGGAGACUGCCGGGGUCAACUCGGAGGAAGGUGGGGACGACGUCAAGUCAUCAUGCCCCUUACGUCCAGGGCUGCAAACAUGCUACAAUGGCCGGUACAAAGGGCUGCUAUACCGCGAGGUUGAGCGAAUCCCAAAAAGCCGGUCUCAGUUCGGAUCGGAGUCUGCAACUCGACUCCGUGAAGCCGGAGUCGCUAGUAAUCCCGGAUCAGCAACGCCGGGGUGAAUACGUUCCCGGGCCUUGUACACACCGCCCAA